CUCCACCGCCCCACUCCUAAAGUUUUGUGAGGGAGGUAAAUCGCGGAAUGUGCCCCAACAGGCUAGAGAACAAGAACUGUCUGUACACUGCGUCUACAAGGAAUCCAAUUCCAUGUCUCAGAAAUCAAACCCACACACUGCGGUUGCCAGCAAGGCGUGAGAUAACAUCACUCCUGUUCUUUGCACCACUGCACUAUGCCCCGAAGGACCUAUAUUCUCUAUUCUUAAGUCCAUUGAAGAAAUGGCAAGGCAAACCCAUUUGCUCCAAAGCUAUUUCGCUACCACAUCACUACACAAGAAGAUAAAUACUAUUACCACAGUAUAAUAAACGCAUCAUAAUAUGAUUUAAAUAAGGGAAAAUUGCAGUAGAGGCCCCAAACCUUUAUAACAUUAGCAGACUUUUCCCAAACCUUUGUUUUGUUGCAACCGUCACCUCAAACCUUUCACAACGUUGUGACAGAUGCCCUUUUGGACAGUUUUCAUUUAAAUGUCCGUUAGUUGACUAAAAAAUUUGACUUUGACCACAUUUUUAAUAACUUGAAAAGGGUAAAAUAGUAAUUUUCUAUUUACUAUAUUAAAAUAAAUUAAAAAUUAAAUUGAAAAAGAAAGAAAGAAGAAAUCAGAAUUAAAAAAUAAAUAAAAUCAAUCGUCUUCUUCAUCCUACGCCAUCCACACCCCAUUCCUUCCCCCUACCCCCAAAUCAGCCAUCGCCACCUCCACCUACGCCAACACGGUUGUAUCGAAUCCGCUCUCCUCCAAGUCCAAAUUUGCUGGACAAUCCAAAUCCAAAAUUUUAGAUCCAUCAAAAGAACUUUAAGUUGAUCUUCCUCUGGAACCUUGGAAUCUGUUUCAGAAUCCAGCAAUACUUGUAGAGUUUCAACCAUAAAGUCUAUAAAGCUUGCUGAUAGUUCAUUUUGAUUAGAAAAAUGCUGCAGCUUUGGAAUUGCAAAAAUCUCCCUAAGUUCCAAAAACUGUGGUCCAUUCCAUCGAAAGCUUAGAAUUUUUUGGUUUCCUUCAAGAAUCAAUUUUUUUAGAUGCGGAAAGAAUGUUGGGUGUCUGACUAGAUAUGUUAGAUCAAUGAAAUAGAAACCUAUUUUUCAUUUGGAUCCAACGAGCAAAGUCGAAGAAAGGAAGCAAGAGAAGUGAAUGUGUAUAUUGAAACCCC
rnacentral:lncRNA from 1 species